rnacentral:rRNA from 1 species
GACGAACCGUACGAACGUUAUUCGGAAUUACUGGGCUUAAAGGGUGCGUAGGCGGCGCGGAAAGUAGGGUGUGAAAUCCCUCGGCUCAACCGAGGAACUGCGCUCUAAACUACCGUGCUCGAGGGAGGUAGAGGUGAGCGGAACUGAGGGUGGAGCGGCGAAAUGCGUUGAUAUCCUCAGGAACACCGGUGGCGAAAGCGGCUCACUGGACCUCUUCUGACGCUGAGGCACGAAAGCUAGGGUAGCGAACGGG